AAUUUACAAUUAAUUCAAUUUCUGUGUCAUUCUUUGCAACUUCAUGACUUUUCGCUUCACAUCUGUACGUCCCACUGUCGUCUCUUUUGGCACUAAAGACAUGCAAUAUUUGUUUUUCUUUCCCUGUGAUACUUUUCACGUCGUUCCCUUUAUACCACGUUACGUUUGCAGGAGGUUUACCACCUUGUCCUUUACAUGCACACGUGAAAAUAUCGCUUGUAUUCACUGUGGUAGAACUGGAACAUUCGACUGUCACCAUCGGCGU
rnacentral:lncRNA from 1 species